UCCCGAAUUUCGAUCUUCUCUAUUAAAAUUAACAUCGGCUAAAAAAGCCAUCCAACGAUCCUCUUCUUCUCUAUUCCAAAACCAGCAAAAUUUCACGCCCUCCCAUCCAUGGCUUGAGCUUUAGCCAACAACCACACCCAAAACAAAUAGCCCUCCCUUGCUUCUCUGAAAAAACGCACACAUACGACUCCAUCAUAUACAUCUGGAACAACCAAGAAAAAGGGCCUGAAACUCGAAAAGCUGAGAUUCAGAAACCAAAAAAUAGAGAAUGAACUCUGAAACAAAGAAGAAAAAGCAAUAGAAUUCUAGUUGUAUUUUGCACUCAAAACAAUUCAAAAGUGGUAGAUGUGUCGAAGCUACAGUUCCUCUCGCAUUUUUGUUUUUUCCAAGCGGAUUCAAUAGUGAUAUACUAUUUGUUAGUCGCUAAUUUUUGCUGAG
rnacentral:lncRNA from 1 species